rnacentral:lncRNA from 1 species
UUUAACUAGAUCAUCUCAAUUUAUAUUUUGAGAUUUAUCUGUGUUGAUACAUGUGGCUCUGUGUCAUUUAUCUUAAUUGCUGUAUUAUAAUUCAUGCAUAUGCCACAAUUUAUUUAUCCAUGGACAUGCAGUUGUUUUCAGUUUUUCAAUAUUACUCACAGUGCAGCAGUCAAUUCUUGUAUUUUUCUCUGUAAGUGCAUGUGAGGUUUUCUCUAGAAGGAUAGAUAGAUAGAGCUCCUGGGCAGUAGGUAUAAGUAUCUUUGACUUUCUCAGGAAUUGCUCUAAGCAAUUUUUCUAAACAAAUCUCCAAAUCUCUCCUCAGGGCUUACAGCAAUUUACACUUCCAGCGGCAAUUAUGAGAGUUUCCAUUUUUCUACAUUCUGUGACUUGACAUUCAUUGGACCCUUUGAUUGUGCCAAUCUGAUGCAGGUAAAAUGAUAUCUCAUUGUCCUUUUGAUUUUGAAUGGCUCUCUUGUUAUGAAACAUUUUGCUGAGCCCUUUUGUUGCUGACUGUUUGGGCAGAUGGUACUGUUUGCUCCCCACAGCUGUUUUACUCUGCUUUUCCAUAAAAAAAAAAAACACCUAAAUUUCAGUUGGGCUUAUGGCCUCCUGAAAUAAAGACCACCCUUCCCAUCAUCUCUUACAACUAUGUGUAGCCAAGUGAUUAGUGUUUCGCUGAUUAGAGUGAACGGUGGCUGUGCACCUUCAGGAAGUGUCAAAGGGAGGGGGCAUGCCCUUCUCCUUCCCUUCUUCUUUCCUUUCAGCUGGAAUGCAGAUACGAUGGCUGCAGCUGGAGCAGUUAUCUUGGAUGAUGAAGUGAACUUGGAAACCAAAGCAAGAGUGGCAGAGGAACAGGAAACCAACCCUGAACAUUCAUCAGAAGGGCUGAUGCUGAAACUGAAACUCCCAAUACUUUGGCCGACUCACUGGAAAAGAUCCCGGUGCUGGGAAAGACUGAAGGCAAGAGAAGAGGCAGCAGAGGAUGAGAUGGUUGAAUGGCAUCACCUACUCAAGGGACAUGUGUUUGCACAAACGUUGGGAGCUAGUGAAUGACAGGGAAGCCUGGUGUGCUGCUCUUCAGGGGUAGCAAAGAGUCGGACACGACUCAGUGACUUAACAACAAGGAUACAAGUGUCUGAUUGGCUUUAGGGCCUACGUGGAUGAUCCAGGAUAAGCUCCCCAUCUCAAAAAGCUUAACUGAAUCGCAUCUCCAAAUCUGCAGAAGACGUAUCUCCAUUUUUUUUUUUUUUGGGCCAGGUAAAGUAAUAUUCACAAGUUCCAGCAAUUUUGAUAGAGAGAGGACAUUCCCAACCUGGUUCCAAGUGCGGAAACCCAGCUAAGAAGAGUCAGGGAAGCAAGAAAGAGGUUCAGAGUGUUCUGGACCUGGAAGGAGUCUGGACUGGCCAGAGCACAGGUCCCCUGGAGAGUUGAGUCAGAGGUCAGAGCUGGAAAAGUUUCCCCAGUCAAGCUUAGGCCAAAGGAGCCACCAAGCAGAGGAGGGACUCAAAGGGGUCGCAUGUUAGAAAGAUCCCCUGACCCCUGCGUGGAAAGAUGGGCUGAAGGGAAGGAGACUGCUGCUUGGGAUACAGGGAAAGACAACAGAGAGAGAGGACUGGCCUGUCUGGAGAGGGUGGCAUUGAAGAGAGGGAAGGGGCAGGAUGGAAAACUAGGAGGAAGUAGAUAGACUGUGGUGUGAUGGAUAGGGAAGAGGGAAGUGGGAGAUUCUGAAAAUCAGUGGUGGGCAUCUUUCCACUUGGUUUCUGUAAAUUGCCCAAGUCACUGUGUGAAGUGGGCACCACCGAUGAGGUCAUGCACUGAACCCCGCUGUGCCUCUUGACUCAGUUCUGGGCCACCUGGGAAGGAGCAGCCUUUGUCAGAGGCUUGGACAGGAAGUUCUCCAGCAGGCAGGUGUGCCAAUGCCAGCCAUGCCCACCCAGGUGCCGCCCGGUGCAGAUUCAUCCUGAGCCACUUCCUAGGGUGGGGCCACUUGCCCCCGGCCCUCUCCAGUCCCUCCCCUCCCUCCCUGUGUGUCUGGCUGCCUCUGACUCAGCCC